GAAUGCCGCAGACUGCCAGAAACAGAGCCGCGGUCGCGGUAAUGAUCCGGCAUUGCUGUUGGUUGCCCAUGGAUACCAUCGAAGCGACGCGAUGCACGCAAGACAAAUGACUGCGAAGACAUUCGUUGGCAAGUCAGGUCCAUAUGAAGAAAGCCUCUGCUCAUCCCUAUCAAACAGCACAUACUCCGAGCUGUGCUCCGGGUCCUGGCACAUGUGGUUAACUAUGAAACACUGGUAGUUCCAGAGCAGAAGCAGCACCAUGCCACACAGGGCCAGCAUUACCAGGCUGCCCAGCAGGAGGCGCUGUUUGUCCAGGAAGCAUCCGUUUUGACAGCUCUCAUCAGCGAGACGUGUGAAUCUCCACAGAGAUCUCUUCAGCCCAGAUCCCGGCCGCUGAUGUGGAUACAGAGACACGACCGAAUCUUUUGUUUGCGCUGCGCUCAUUGUACGGGGAGCACUCGGAGAUCCUUACAAGAUGCCUGCUGUGAGAAAAACAAGUGGCAGGGCCGCAGAGAUUAGAUGAAUAUUGCGGUUCCUGUUGCACGGGUCAGGCUAGGCUUUUGUGAUUUAUUUAUUUUUUCUGUCGUAAAUAUGCAAACACAGUCUUUUCAUUCACGGAAUUCAUAGGGUAUAAAUGCGCUACAUUUUCAGUGGUGUGAAAGUUCAUUUAUUUUCUUAAUAGUGUUGUUCUUCCAAAGUAUGGUUUCAUAACCCUGGGAUAAAAAGUUACGCCAACCUCGCUGUUAAGCGUUUCAGGGUUUAGAACGGCGACGUUUUUUAAAGGGACAGUUCACCCAAAAAAGAAAACUGAGUCAUUAAUUACUCACCGUCUUGUUCCAAACCCGUAAGACAUUCGUUCAGCUUCGAAACACAAAUUAAGAUAUUUUUCAUGAAAUCUGAGAGCUCUCUGACCCUCCAUAGACAGCAGGGAUACUACAACGAUCAAGGCACAAAAACAAAGCAAGGACAGUAAAGUAAAAUGCAUCAGUAAAAUAGUCCAUGUGACUUUAGGGGUUCAACUUUAAGUGUACGAAGCAGCGAGCAUAAGUUUGGUGUGCACAGAAAAUAAUAACAUAAUUUAUUCAACAAUUCUUAUCAUCUUCCGCCAUUUAGAAGAGAAACGGAACGUAAUGAAAGUAAUCAGCACUGUUUACCCUCAGCAUGCGAAUGCUUUAUCCUGAAUGCAAACAAGGCUGAUUACAUUGAUUGUACUUACACUGUUCUCCAAAAUGGCAGAAGAUAUGGCGCACAAAAAGUGUUCUCGCAUCUUUGUAAACGUUCAGUUAGAUCCCUGAAGUCACAGACUAUUUUACUGAUGUCCUUGCUAGCUUGUGUCUCCAUCAAGGUAGUUUCCUUGCUAUCAGUGGAGGGUCAGAGAGCUCUCAGAUUUCACCCAGAACAUCUUAAUUUGUGAUUAAUCAAGGUCUUACGGGUUUGGAACAACUUCAGGAGUUUUCAUUUUUGAGUGAAAUAACCCUUUGACUGAAUCAGUUUGUUCAGACUCCCUGUACUAUUACUAUAAAUAUGAAUUGAUAAAUGUAAAUGUGUGUUUUUGUUGCAGUUAUUAAGUAGGAAUUUACCUGCUCAAGCUACCAUUCUAAUGUUUUUAUGCCUCUGAUUAAAUGAUACAUUUUAUGAUUGUGCACAUUAAUUUAUUAAAACAUUCCCCUUUGGUAUAUUUGAUGCAGUUAGUUACAUUUUGUUUAUAACUUGACUGUAGUUAAACUGCUUCAAAUUAUGAUUCACUUGUAGCUUGAUAGGCUUUAUAGCUUGAUAGCAUCUCCCAAACGUGGAAAUGCGUAAAAAUCUUAUUCUGACUAGGUGCUAAAUCCAAUCUUUAUAAGCCAACACGUUUUGAUCAUGUUUUUAACCAACAAAUGCCAUGAAAUAGACUCUAAAUGGAAGACUUAUAUUUAAAAUAAAUAAAUAAACUAGA